rnacentral:rRNA from 1 species
CCUACGGGAGGCUGCAGUGGGGAAUAUUGGGCAAUGGGCGCAAGCCUGACCCAGCAACGCCGCGUGAAGGAAGAAGGCUUUCGGGUUGUAAACUUCUUUUCUGAGGGACGAAGAAAGUGACGGUACCUCAGCAUUAAGCCACGGCUAACUACGUGCCAGCAGCAGCGGUAAUACGUAGUUGGCAAGCGUUAUCCGGAUUUAUUGGGUGUAAAGGGCGUGUAGGCGGGAAAGCAAGUCAGAUGUGAAAUCUCAGGGCUCAACCCUGAGCCUGCAUUUGAAACUGUUUUUCUUGAGUGCUGGAGAGGCAAUCGGAAUUCCGGGUGUAGCGGUGAAAUGCGUAGAUAUACGGAGGAACACCAGUGGCGAAGGCGGAUUGCUGGACAGUAACUGACGCUGAGGCGCGAAAGCGUGGGGAGCAAACAGGAUUAGAUACCCUGGUAGUC